rnacentral:snoRNA from 1 species
UGGCUUGUGAUGAUACAUAAAUAAUCUUAGCGGAUUUCAUUGAGAUCAGAUCUUCUGAUCAUUGAUCUUAUUGUUACACACACUGAAGCCA